UACGAGGGGGGCGAGCGUUGUUCGGAAUUAUUGGGCGUAAAGGGUGCGUAGGCGGCCUGACAAGUCUGAUGUGAAAUCCCUGGGCUCAACCCAGGGCCUGCAUCGGAAACUGUCGGGCUUGAGUAUGGGAGAGGUGAGUGGAAUUUCCGGUGUAGCGGUGAAAUGCGUAGAUAUCGGAAGGAACACCUGUGGCGAAAGCGGCUCACUGGACCAUUACUGACGCUCAGGCGCGACAGCGUGGGGAUCAAACAGG
rnacentral:rRNA from 1 species